AUUAAUGCAGAUUCCUGAUACGCGAUGUUCCAGUUCUACCAACCGACUGUAUACAUGAUUAAUGGCGAACUUCAGAGCCAGGUUGCUAUUAAUUCUCUCUUAUUAACCUGUUUGUUUGUUUGCGGAAGUACAUACAUCGCAUUCAACUAUCAGUGUUGUUAGCGAUUACUUUUUGGUUAAAACAAUGCACAUGUUUUCUGCUAAGGGCUCUAGUACUCUAAGGUCCAGUGACUUCUGCUAUCGACUCAAAGACACUGGUAGAUACUGCAAUUAUCUCGGUACUUACCAUAGAGAUUACACGCAGAAUGAAUAACAAUAAAUUUUGUGAACGGUUGAGGUAUUAUCUACACGAGGUAUGUAUGUGUGUAUGUACUUACAGUUUUAGAUGAAUUCCGAAUUACCAGAACCACGCUGAGAUAAACAAUACAACUACCACAGGGGUGGCGCGACUGAAAAUUCGCCUGCCGGUCACGAAUCAUAGAUCUGUUUCAGUUACUAAAUAUUAUAACCAGUACCACGCUUUAGGUAUUUCAUGCAUUUUUAGACAUUAUCUAUACCUUGUAUUUAUCUACAUCUGUGAAAUUGUAACAUUUGUAAGAAUAUAUGCAUAAAUAUCUGCAGUCUACUUCUAAGAUUUAGGAUGACCAUGAUGAACAGUUCGGAAGCAAGGUGCAAGAAAAUGUACGAUCGAUAUUGCUAUGCAUAUUGGCAGAAACUUUCUCUAAAGAAGUUUCUUUUUCAAGGUUAAUGACUCAACUGGGAAAGAAGGGAAUCACGAUAAUCGUUCGGGCCGAAGCUGUUAUUACAGGCAACAAUGGAGUUUCAAUUGCGUUAUCGUGGUACGCGAUUGUACGUAACACUCGUAUAGAAUUGCAGUUCUAUUGUAUUGCGUAUUGUAUCGCAAUGUACCAGGUCACGAAUUCAAACUAUCUAGUAUUGCACAGCGGUCAUCCACCGUUUAUCCUGUCCGCAGGUUUAAGGCCGGAGUGCAUGAAGUGUAUUGCGUUAUUCCUAGUUAUGAUUCAAGAAAACUUGCGCGUACCAUUCAUGCGAACAUCGCUAUAUCUUCGAUCUAUUCAUCUUACUAUUAAGCAACGAGGACGAUUAACUGAAAAUUUUGCCGGUCGUCGAAACGACAAAGAAUACGAAUUAAGCGAGAAAGACUACCGUGCCCAGUGAAUCGUGACAGUCAUACAUCGUCGACUCUGUGGAUUACAUAAAUACCACCUACACAUUCCACUGGUAUUACGUUGUCAAAAUCAAACGGGACCUCUCAGUGGUUUCUUGAACAAACUUCGAAGUCCAUGGCAGCCCAUAAAUCACCCGGUAACAAUAUACUUCGAAGAAUCCGAAGAAGCCCUUUGCAGUGCAGUAAAAAUUCAACCGGACAACCUGGAAUCCCAUAAAUCUCCCACGACGCAUAUGUCCACGAGGACGUUCGCAUUUACUCUGUGUGCUUUAUCCAUGAAAGGAUUGCGCGGAUCUCAGCAGCGCGCCCUCUCGGUCGGAACGCGAAAUAGGAUCGUACACUCAAAUUCGUCGCUUCGAAGGGGUACUUCUUGCGCGGGUAUUUUCGGAAAAAACAUACCUUGUUGACAGUUCGUUGGCACGAAGGCGUAGCCGAGAAUUAGAAACGUCAGAAUCAUGUUGACGAAACGGUUAUCGUUCGUUUUGUGUCUCGACAUCCUCUCCUGGUCACUUGUUCACACCGCGCACUUUUUCGUAUCGGCACGAUUUCGAGGCAGUUCGCCCGACUGUCAGUGCAACACUGUCAUCGUAACAACGCUGAAAUUCGCCAACCUUUUUCGUCACGUUGUGUCUGUGCCCGUUGAUUUAUCGAGCAACGACGAGCGGACACAUCCUCGCAGAAGAAAAGAGACGAGUUCGCGAGCACGGCGCGUUUGUCACUGGCCACGGGUAGAAAGCAAAAUCCUACUUUCACUUGGUGGCUGCGAGCCUCGCGAGGCGGAGCUGGCACGUCGAGGCCAUCGCGAUCUUUCCCUCUCCUUUCUGUUCUGUGACUUCUCCUCUGCCUCUUUUCUCGUGUACACGUCUUUGUGACGAUCAACGAGAGGGAGCCGAUACUUAGAAAAACCGCGGAGACGGGUUUUAGGAAAAAUUUGAGAACGUCCGGGUACGACCUUUCUUGUAUCUUCGUGAAGGUCGCCAGUGAGGAUCAACGAUCUUUCGCAACGAUUUUAGAACCGGGAGGCAGUGUUUUCGACGCCGAGCCGAGCCCCUCAAGUCGAGGCUCUUUUGCAUCCUACGAAUAAAAGAGAUCCUUAUAAAACGAAUUAUUUUGUUCUCUAGAUAAUCUUGAUCUCUUUUCUUUCACGGAUAUAACGAAAUUAGUGAAAAGAUACAGUUUUUGAAUAAUCAUUAAUCACAAAGUUGCAUUGAUAUUAUUUUUCUGUUUAUUAUUAUUAUUAUAUAUUUUUUGUAAUUUUUCCAUAUUUUCAUUAGUUAGAAAAUAAUGGAAUCCUAAUAUUCGAAUUCUAUGUUUUAUAUUUUAGACGAAUAUGUUACAUAAAGAUCCUCUAGUUUCGUUAAUGUUGUGUAACUUCAAAGUUACAUAUCUAUAUGUGCGUAGUCCGAUAAUUUUAUCUAUCUAGAUUAAAGCAGAAAGCUGCAAUCGAUAUACAAUGUUCUUUCUAGAACUCUGAUCAUAGAUGGUAGUAAUUCUGUUCUACAACGUGGAAUAUUACACAGUCAGUUUAUCGUACCAAUCACUGCUAACUCUAAAAACAUGUUAGUAUCAUGUUUUAUCACACCAUUUUAAUUCAUCGUUGAAGAAUUAAAAAGUCCUACAUUUAUCGGUAUCUAAUUCCAGAAACAUUUUAACGUAUUUCAUGUGAUACACAUUGAUGUCCGUCUAUUAUGCGUCUGAUAAAGCCCAACUUUGCAUGCAAGCUAUAUAUAGCGUGUGUUUAGUAUCCUUAUUUCGGUUCCAUCUAUCGUUUUUUAGAGGCUGGAAAGAAUGCAGCCGAAGAAUGCCAUAACACGGCCGCGUCCUUCGGUAGGACCUUCGUAAGCAUUUUUUCGACGUCGAUUUUAUCCUGUCGGGAUACGUUCGUUAACCCUUACCGGGUACAGGCGACCUUUGCGAAUCGACGUAUCGUCGAUUCCGAACUGAUCCACAUCCGGCCAGAAACCAAACGGGCACGAAAGGAAAAAGACGAGCAAGGUCGGCACAGCCGGGGAAAGUAUUAUCAUGACGCAACGAGAUUGAAGAUGAUGUUCUAUAAUAGCUUCUAAAUUACUACUUCAACGGCAUAGGGGAUUAGUAUGCCUUCACGUGCUUUACGUCACGUAUGGUUGGUUUUUGUAUUAUUUUUUAAUUUCUUGUGAUCGACUUCGUGCGAUUAUUCUAACGAGAAAAAGAUCUUCUAUUUCUCUCUCUCUCUCUCUCUCACUUUUGAGCAUGUAGCAUGUUUAGGUGUGUAUAUGCAAGUAUGUAUAUCGAAUAAAAUUACCGCAUAUAUGUAUAUGUAAAAUUCACAUAUGUGAUAGUGCUGCUAUCUAAAUAAUUGUGCGAAUUUGUACUGAGUAGUACAAGGUUAUUGGUAUUAAUGUGAUUCAAAGAAUUUUAUCCUCGAUGCAAUUGUAAGUGCGUGUUGCUUUGCUCAAAUAAUUGAAAGUCGUAUGAAAUUUAUAUGAAUAAUAAUUUAAAUAUAAUAACUUUUGAUAUCUCGCACUAUUCUCUCGAUAAUUCACAAGAGAGCUCUGUAUUUUCUUCUAGAGGUGACUCAAUCCCUACAAUUUGCAUUAUCGUAGCAAUAAAAAGUAAGUUUGUAUUAUGAAUGAUCUAUACCACUUGCAUACGAAGUUUCAUGACUUUUUGAAUUUCCAAAUUAAUCGUUUAAACGUUCACGUUUCUGGAAUAUUUAUUUUUAAGAAUUUUAUAUACAGAUAUCUUUUUGGCAAAAGGCUAACCACCUGUUUUAUAGUUAAAAAUUGAAAGAAUGGCAAAAGGAUCAGCAGGAUUCUUGUAUCACGAUUCUGUGUAAUAAAAUGCUGCUCAAGUAACAUAUACACUAUCCUGCGAUAUAUAUCGGUAUUAGGAUUUUCAACUAUUAUUUACAGUGAAAAUACGAGAGAAGAUUCGGUUACAAACUAGCCAUCGUGUCAAGUUGCCAAUUUGUAUUCCUGUGGAGUUAGCAGGAAGUGCAACUUGGUCUCGAUUGUAACGGUAACGACAAAAGAUAUACCGUAUAUAAUCAUGUACGGUAUUUUAUUUCGUGACAAUGGUACGAAUUUACGGAAUAACGUACUUGUCUUGGAAUUUCUUAGUCAUUUGUGAAAAUGAGAAAAUUUCGAUCGUACACAUAACCAAAACUCUUGAAAAUUUUCUUUGAUCAAUAAAUUUAUAAAAUUUAAUAAAAUAAUAAAUUUAUAAAAAAUAUGUUUAUAAAAUUAAAGAUCGCAAAGAUCAUAUCCAGAGAUUUUUUCGUUGACUUAAGUUUUAUAUCUGAAAGAUAAAAAAUAAUUUACGUAAAAGACGAAUGGCAUGAGAGCAUACCUUUCUCAAUAGAUGCAGGCAUUGAAGUCAUUGUCCUAUACUGGCAUUCAAAUCACCUCUAAUCUAUCUGAUAUAACUUGCGGUAUCGAAACUAUAUGUACAUGAUUAGUUAUAAGUGGUCUAGAUAUUAUAUUUGAUAAAUUAAAAAUGUAAUAAGAAGAAAUUAAAUAAAUUUUAUUAUAUUUCGUGAUA